GAUGAACGCUGGCGGCGUGCCUAAUACAUGCAAGUAGAACGCUGAAGCUUGGUGCUUGCACCGAGCGGAUGAGUUGCGAACGGGUGAGUAACGCGUAGGUAACCUGCCUCUUAGCGGGGGAUAACUAUUGGAAACGAUAGCUAAUACCGCAUAAAAGUCGAUAUCGCAUGAUAAUGAUUUGAAAGGUGCAAAUGCAUCACUAAGAGAUGGACCUGCGUUGUAUUAGCUAGUUGGUGAGGUAACGGCUCACCAAGGCGACGAUACAUAGCCGACCUGAGAGGGUGAUCGGCCACACUGGGACUGAGACACGGCCCAGACUCCUACGGGAGGCAGCAGUAGGGAAUCUUCGGCAAUGGGGGCAACCCUGACCGAGCAACGCCGCGUGAGUGAAGAAGGUUUUCGGAUCGUAAAGCUCUGUUGUAAGAGAAGAACGAGUGUGAGAGUGGAAAGUUCACACUGUGACGGUAACUUACCAGAAAGGGACGGCUAACUACGUG
rnacentral:rRNA from 1 species